AUCGGAAAGCCACGGUCAUUGGAUGUACUGAUACUGACUGUAUUAGGUACAGCUUUAUACUUAUAGUUAUUCUGUUGAACACUAUACACACCUGACAGCUACGGUUAUUGUACUUUUAUAUAGAUUUGCUUUGAUAGUGUGUAGUUUUAUAGUAUAUAAUCUAUUCAGAUUGUUUUUUUCAAGACUGUUGAUAUUGGUUAGGGACCGG